rnacentral:rRNA from 1 species
GACGAACGCGGCGGCGUGCGUAACACAUGCAAGUCGAACGAGAGAGUGAGAGAAGCUUGCUUUUCUUACAAUCGAGUGGCAAACGGGUGAGUAACGCGUAAACAACCUGCCCCGCAGAUGGGGACAACAGCUGGAAACGGCUGCUAAUACCGAAUACGGUCCUCUUAGCGCAUGGUAAGAGGAAGAAAGGGUGGCCUCUGGAACAAGCUACCGCUGCGGGAGGGGUUUGCGUCUGAUUAGCCGGUUGGAGGGGUAACGGCCCACCAAGGCGACGAUCAGUAGCCGGUCUGAGAGGAUGAACGGCCACAUUGGAACUGAGACACGGUCCAGACUCCUACGGGAGGCAGCAGUGGGGAAUCUUCCGCAAUGGGCGAAAGCCUGACGGAGCAACGCCGCGUGAGUGAAGACGGCCUUCGGGUUGUAAAGCUCUGUUAUAGGGGACGAACGGCCGGGUAGCGAAGAGGUAGCCGGCAUGACGGUACC